GGAAAAACAAGAAAACCUAGGUGGAAAUUUAAAGAAAAAGUGAAGAAAUAAAGGAAACAAGCUAGGUAAGUUACAAUUUCUUUAAUUCUCCUUGAUACCUAGCUUACCCAUGCUUUUGUUUUUGAUUUUCAUGGUUGAAUAUUGAGUUAUCAUGAUGAAUUCAAUUCUGAAAAAUGGGUAUGGAAGAGGAAUUGUUGUUGGAAUAAUUUGAUUUUAGACUAUGUUAGUGUUUAGGGAUAGUUAAGCAUGGUUAUGAACAAAAACACAAAAGAAAUAUUCAAUUUCUCUAGGGUUCCUUGUUGGUCGAACCAUGAGGGUUGAAUAUCAAUGGGGGAUUGUUUUUAUUUCAAGGAAAAUGGCUUGAAAAAUGAUGAAUUAAGGUGAAACGGUUAUGUAUAAAAAAAAUUUCGGUUCUAGUGCACCUAAUGACCAAAUUUUUUUAUAAGGAACUGUGAGGGUUCUAAUGCUGAAUUUGGCUUUAUUUAAAUGGUAUGUGGCAAAUUAAGGUAUUAGAGGAGAAGUGGAUUAAUUUGGAGGUGAUUUGGACACAAUCACCAAUUAAUCAGGUGAUCGGUCGAAUUUAAUCGAUACCGCAAUUAAGCGGUAAUUGGACGUAUUUUUGCAUUUAUAUAUCAAGCAUUAGUAAUUUAAAUUAGUUUAUAUCAAUUUAGGGACAAUAUAGUAAAUUCCUCGACUUUGUUAUUUGUCAAGGUAGUGAGACGUCCGAAAAAGGCAAAGGAAUUGCGCCUGAGGACUAUUAGUCCGAGUGCACCCGAAAUCUGGAUUUUUGACACCUGUGAGUGAAUUUGCAUUUCAAAAUUUAUUUGGGAAUUCUAAUUAAGUUGAAAUGAAAUGCGUGAAUGAUUAUAUCUUAUUCUCAUUUAAAAAUGAAUCUCGGGAACAAGCCUUUAUUGAAAAUAUUUCUGUGAUGUUAAAUAUGAUUGCGAUGCAUCUGUGUAUAUCUGUAUGAUGCCUACAUGUAUUAUAGAGAAAUUGUGUGAAAUUAAGUGUACUGAAUCUGUGUACCCUUGUAUUAUGCUGAUAUGCAUUAUUAAUAAAUUAUUGUGAAAUUGAUGCAACCGUGCAUGUGUGGAGUAGGAAGUGCAAUGCCAGUUGAAUGACAAAGGAUGUGAUAAUUACGAUCGUGCAUGUGCGGAGUGGGAAGUGCAAAUGCCGAUUUAAUGAUAAAGGUUGUGAUAAUUACAACCGUGCAUGUGCGGAGUGGGAAGUACAAAUGCCGGUUUAAUGAUAAAAGUUAUGAUAAUUACGACCGUGCAUGUGUGGAGUGGGAAGUACAAAUGCCGAUUUAAUGAUAAAGGUUGUGAUAAUUACUACCGUGCAUGUGCAAAGUGGGGACGACGAUACGUAGCGCCCACAAUUUCCUAGAAAUUCAGAGGUGUGCAAAGAGGGAUACUGAGUGAUACCCCUUACCGAGUACUCCGAUAGUUAUUUCUUUGUACCACCAAGAACAAUGAAGACUUGGCGAUGUAUAUAAUUGCUCAUAUCUUUGUGUAUAUAUGUGUGAUUGUGUGGUAUGUGAAACCCUUGUUUGUGACGGUUUGUGAUAAACCGUUCAUUUUGCUAUCUUGCUUGAUAGAACAAUUGGUGAAUAAAAUUGUACGUGAUACAUAUGCAUAUAUGAAUCGUACGGGUUGUGAAACCCUUAUUAUGUGACGAUUUGUAAAUAAUCGUCAGUUUUACUACUUUGCUAGAAUGAUCGGUGUAAACUC
rnacentral:lncRNA from 1 species